rnacentral:misc_RNA from 1 species
AAGUCGUAACAAGGUUUCCGUAGGUGAACCUGCGGAAGGAUCAUUAACACGUAUCCACGUAUCAACCAACUGUGCACUUGUUUUCAACUCUCCCUGCUCGGUACAUGAAUUGAAGAGAAUUUGGUAAUAGUGAGGAGUCUCUCGGGACUCAGCCAUCUUCUCUAGCUUGACUUCGGUCAGACAAUUGUAGUACUGCGGUCAGGCAAACCUUCUGCUUACAACCUUCUCUCACAAUGAAGGGCGUAGUGGAAAUCAAACACCAAUUUCACCACAUUUUUGCUAGUUGACUUUUAUAUGUUGUCUUAUUCGAUACCUCGGUAUUGCGUAAUUCACACGUUUAUUAUUUGAACGUUAAAUUUACAACUCUUAGCAAUGGAUAUCUUGGUUCUC